UAACGGACAAUCGGUAGUGGUCACGUCGGAUACGGGCAGGGAGCAGAAAAAUUCUUUCAAUUUUUUAUUUUUUAAAAGUUUACACAUUACUAUUAAUACUCCUGAAAGUUUUUUGAAUACAUACGAUAAAAUUAUUUACUGCAAGUUGUUAAAAUUAUAAAAGUUAUGCCGCUGCGUGUAUGUCAAAAAUCUACCUUCAAUCAAAACAAAAACCAGAGUUGUUAAAUGGCAAAAAGUGACAAAUGAUAAAUUUUAUUUCUGUUGCCGUGUUGUUGUUGCUGUUUGUAAUUCAUCAGGGCGACAUCGCUGACGGCGAAGCUUGCAGAAAAUUUCACAAAUAGGAUACUACUACAAAAAUCAUUCUUAAAUUGCAUUUAUUAAUUUACUGCUUUGGAGUUUAAAAUCCCUGAUAAAAUAUUUAACAUGUGAAUUGGAAUUAUGUUUAAAUCAAUCAAGAAGGAUAAAAUUUUAGAACAAAAAAACAGACAGCCUACAUUUCCUCUCUGCUUAAAAGCAGUGAAGUAAAAGGAAAAAAACAACAAACUGAAGAAAUUAAAAUAAUACUGUGUUAUAGUUGAGAGUACCAAUUUCGAAUAAAUCAGUUCCAGGGACAGCAAGUGUUAGUGAUUGUGUUUCUAAUCGUCCCGCUAAUGGAAAAAGAACGGGGCGGCAGCAGCACGCGAGUUGCGUCGUCAAACGACUCCACCACUGUCAAACUCGUCGACAUACAAAAAAAGACAAGUAUUUUUUAAAUAUUUUUAUUUCUCUGAAAUGUAAGUUGAAUCUUCAGAUUCAACUACAUACAUAUGUACAUAUAUAAGAUAUGCCGGGUCGUUGAUGCUGAGGAAUGUCAAGUCAGCACAACGGCUUCAGGUAAAUUUAGGAAAUAAGAUUUUUGUAAAGAAUAAAAUGAUGAUUAAUAAACUGGACGGCAAGCCGCUCAGUACGGUAAA